rnacentral:lncRNA from 1 species
AGGGAGGAGGAGGACCAAAGGAUUAUCCUUAGUUCUCCCGCGCUUCAGAGUUUCGGUUAAAUCACCAAGGUUGCGGUAUUAUCGCAAAUGCUUUAUUGCAAACAACUUUGAUUGGUAUUGGUCAAAACAAUAGUUUUACUAUUGUGUUUGCGUGAUAUUUGGACUGUAUUACCUUUAUGCAUUUUAGUCACUAACAGUAUCAUUGCAUGAUAGACUUUGGUUUCUUCCAUGCUUGUCUAAGAAUGUUUUUCUUAAUUUGCUUGAAUGCAUCUUAUAACCGUUCUAUCUUUCAUUGUAGGUGUUUUUCAUUGGUUGUUGAGGGCAAGAUCUCCAUGGUGAAAUGAGGUGGUCAGCAACAGGAAUCUCUUAUGUUGGUUCAGAAUUUUCCCCUUCCAAAAGGAAAUCCUAAUCGGGGUCAUCGCGGCAAGCGUGCACAUAUAUGGAAAAAUUGGUUCUCAUCAAUUCAGAAUUAUUAUGGAAUGUUUUUUGUCUAAGUAUGGCAAUGGCCAACAUAUGCUGCUAUGAACCCUAUCGUUGUGUGACAAAUCCAUUUUGAGAAACAAAGUGUUGUUUUUUUUUUAGUGAGCAACUAUAUUCUUAGGGUUUAAAUGUAUUCAUGCUCCAUAUGUUGUACGUUUCCAAAAAAUCUUAACUCUUUUGGUGUUCAACUUUAUAAAAGAGAUGUUAAUGCACCACUUUGGUUUAUGGGAAACAUUUAAAUAUGCAUGAUGGACGUUGGCUUGCAGGCUGUAAUGUGUGAUUGGUUUUACUUGAUUUGGUUUGAAAUUGCCUCAACAUGUAUGGCUCAUGCUUUGGUUAGGUUUUAAGAGUGGUCAUGGAAGCAUAUAAUGGAAAUAUUUGGAAGGUUAUUUAGUUAUGAACAUGUAAUUGGUUUAGGUUACAUUUGUAAUGCAAUGAUUUGUUUGGUUCUGGUGCAAGUGUAUUUGAUUCAUGUUAGUGGUUUG